rnacentral:rRNA from 1 species
GGAUAGCAUGCAUGCCUGCAGGUCGACGAUUCGUGUCGUGAGAUGUUGGGUUAAGUCCCGCAACGAGCGCAACCCCUGCUGCCAGUUAGGAUGUCUGGCGGGACUGCCGGGAGAAACCCGGAGGAAGGCGGGGAUGACGUCAAGUCAGCACGGCCCUUACGCCUAGGGCUACACACACGCUACAAUGGCCGCGACAACGCGCGGCAAACCCGCGAGGGGGAGCGAAUCGCACCAAACGCGGUCUCAGUUCGGAUUGCAGGCUGCAACUCGCCUGCAUGAAGUUGGAGUUGCUAGUAACCGCAAGUCGGCACAUUGCGGUGAAUACGUUCCC